GUAUGUUUAUAUAAGUGUGAACUAUGGUGAUGGACAGCUGGGAAGAUAAUAUUUCAUUCAUUUCUUCCUUCUUUCCUUCAUCCAUUGAACAAUUACUUGCUGAACACUUGCUAUGAGCCAGGCACUAUGCCAGGCUCUGCAGAAUAAAACAACGAAACAGAAACAAACUCCAUCCUCAAGAAGCUAACGUCUAAUUCAGGAAAUAGAUAAACAGUUUUAUCUUCACAACAAUCCUGUGACACGAAGAAUUGGUGGGAGGUAAUGUCAGCAAGAUGGUGGAAUAGAAGUUUACUAUUGUCAUCCCCCUACAGAGCAUUGAUUUUGACAAACACUCAUAGUGCAACCAUUCAGCUCAGACUAUGCCCUGAAGCACAGACUUACGUCCCCUACCAAGAAUCACUUAUCAUGCCUUAUCUGGUAGAAGUAUAAUUCCCACGUCAAAGGAGAAGUUGAUAAUUCGACUAAUUUCAUCUGCUUUUAGUAAAAAUCAUCUGAUAUUUAAUAAAGCGAACAAUUAAAAAUAAAAGGGACACAAAGAAGCUU